GACGAACGCUGGCGGCGUGCUUAACACAUGCAAGUCGAACGGAAAGGCCCUGCUUUUGUGGGGUGCUCGAGUGGCGAACGGGUGAGUAACACGUGAGUAACCUGCCCUUGACUUUGGGAUAACUUCAGGAAACUGGGGCUAAUACCGGAUAGGAGCUCCUGCUGCUUGGUGGGGGUUGGAAAGUUUCGGCGGUUGGGGAUGGACUCGCGGCUUAUCAGCUUGUUGGUGGGGUAGUGGCUUACCAAGGCUUUGACGGGUAGCCGGCCUGAGAGGGUGACCGGCCACAUUGGGACUGAGAUACGGCCCAGACUCCUACGGGAGGCAGCAGUGGGGAAUAUUGCACAAGGGGCGGAAGCCUGAUGCAGCAACGCCGCGUGCGGGAUGACGGCCUUCGGGUUGUAAACCGCUUUCGCCUGUGACGAAGCGUGAGUGACGGUAAUGGGUAAAGAAGCACCGGCUAACUACGUG
rnacentral:rRNA from 1 species